rnacentral:rRNA from 1 species
CAGCCGCCGCGGUAAUACGAAGGGGGCUAGCGUUGUUCGGAUUUACUGGGCGUAAAGCGCACGUAGGCGGAUCGAUCAGUCAGGGGUGAAAUCCCAGAGCUCAACUCUGGAACUGCCUUUGAUACUGUCAAUCUGGAGUAUGGAAGAGGUGAGUGGAAUUCCGAGUGUAGAGGUGAAAUUCGUAGAUAUUCGGAGGAACACCAGUGGCGAAGGCGGCUCACUGGUCCAUUACUGACGCUGAGGUGCGAAAGCGUGGGGAGCAAACAGGAUUAGAUACCCGAGUAGUCCCUGUCUCUUAUAC